AAAGCCUGCGAGCGCCAGCCGAGAUCGCAGCCCAACCCAUGGCCGGGUCUCCUAGUCGCGCCGCGGGCCGGCGACUGCAGCUUCCCCUGCUGUCCUUCCUCCAGGGCGCCACUGCCGUCCUCUUUGCUGUCUUUGUCCGCUACAACCACAAAACCGACGCUGCCUUCUGGCACCGGGGCAACCACAGUAAUGCGGACAACGAAUUUUACUUUUGCUACCCAA
rnacentral:sRNA from 1 species